CCUACGGGUGACAGCAGUGAGGAAUAUUGGUCAAUGGGCGCGAGCCUGAACCAGCCAAGUAGCGUGAAGGAUGACUGCCCUACGGGUUGUAAACUUCUUUUAUAAAGGAAUAAAGUGAGGCACGUGUGCCUUUUUGUAUGUACUUUAUGAAUACGGAUCGGCUAACGCCGUGCCAGCAGCCGCGGUAAUACGGAGGAUCCGAGCGUUAUCCGGAUUGAUUGGGUUUAAAGGGAGCGUAGAGGGGUUGGUAAGUCAGUUGUGAAAGUUUGCGACUCAACCGUAGAAUUGCAAUUGAUACUGGCAGUCUUGAGUACAGUAGAGGUAGGCGGAAUUCGUGGUGUAGCGGUGAAAUGCUUAGAUAUCACGAAGAACUCCGAUUGCGAAGGCAGCUUACUAAGCUGACACUGACAUUGAUGCUCGAAAGUGUGGGUAUCAAACAGGAUUAGAUACCCGAGUAGUC
rnacentral:rRNA from 1 species